UACGAAGGGGGCUAGCGUUGUUCGGAUUUACUGGGCGUAAAGAGCACGUAGGUUGUUGUACAAGUUGGAUGUGAAAGCCCCGGGCUCAACCUGGGAAGGUCAUCCAAAACUGUGCGACUAGAGUAUGGUAGAGGGAAGUGGAAUUUCCGGUGUAGCGGUGAAAUGCGUAGAUAUCGGGAGGAACACCAGUGGCGAAGGCGGUUGCCUGGGGCUUUGCUGACGCUGAUGCGCGAAAGCGUGGGGAGCGAUCCGG
rnacentral:rRNA from 1 species